rnacentral:rRNA from 1 species
GAGUUUGAUCAUGGCUCAGAUUGAACGCUGGCGGCAGGCCUAACACAUGCAAGUCGGGCGGUAGAGAGAAGCUUGCUUCUCUUGAGAGCGGCGGACGGGUGAGUAAUGCCUAGGAAUCUGCCUGGUAGUGGGGGAUAACGCUCGGAAACGGACGCUAAUACCGCAUACGUCCUACGGGAGAAAGCAGGGGACCUUCGGGCCUUGCGCUAUCAGAUGAGCCUAGGUCGGAUUAGCUAGUUGGUGAGGUAAUGGCUCACCAAGCCGACGAUCCGUAACUGGUCUGAGAGGAUGAUCAGUCACACUGGAACUGAGACACGGUCCAGACUCCUACGGGAGGCAGCAGUGGGGAAUAUUGGACAAUGGGCGAAAGCCUGAUCCAGCCAUGCCGCGUGUGUGAAGAAGGUCUUCGGAUUGUAAAGCACUUUAAGUUGGGAGGAAGGGCAGUAAAUUAAUACUUUAGUCUGUUUUGACGUUACCGACAGAAUAAGCACCGGCUAACUCUGUGCCAGCA